CUACCCCUACUGAUUCUGCCUUUUGUCCGCCGUAUUUACAUAGAGGGGGUUCGUAUUCCCAUUUCCCAGCCCAAAUUUUGACUAAAUCCCAUUGUCCCAGAGCACAAAUCCCAUCAUCUCAGUGGCUGUCCUGCUCAAAUCUUAAUCCCAUUCCCAUUUUCUAUUGUUUUUUUUGCUGAUGAAUCCCAGUCCCAGUGCAUGAAAUCCCAUUUUCCCACCCAAAAAUAAGCAAAUUCCAGUUCCCAUUUUACCCCUUCAGGACCCUCUUCAUAUGCGUACUAUUUUGUAUCCAAAUUGCAUUUAAUUGCGGGCAAAAGCGAAAAUGUCGGGCCGUAUAUGCAGGAAGAACAAUGAGGAACAAUAACACGCGAUUAUAUAUUCGAUUCGCGAUCCGUAUAAUGAUUAAUAAUGUGCAUUUAAGAAUACAAUAUUAUAUUAUUGAAAAAAUACUAUGAAACUGCUAUAUGCGUGAGAUUUACUAAACGUGGCGUGAGAGCGUGAGAGUGAAGCGAAUUGCGUGAGACUCACGCCGAAUGCGUGAGAGUUGAGAGGUCUGCC